UACGGAGGGUGCAAGCGUUAUCCGGAUUCACUGGGUUUAAAGGGUGCGUAGGCGGGUAAGUAAGUCCGUGGUGAGAUCUCUGAGCUUAACUCAGAAACUGCCGUGGAUACUAUUUGCCUUGAAUAUUGUGGAGGUGAGCGGAAUAUGUCAUGUAGCGGUGAAAUGCUUAGAUAUGACAUAGAACACCAAUUGCGAAGGCAGCUCACUACACAAUCAUUGACGCUGAGGCACGAAAGCGUGGGGAUCAAACAGG
rnacentral:rRNA from 1 species